UUGGGGCUCUUUUUCUGCUUUGGCGAGAAUUAAAAUAGGAAAUAAUUUUUUUUAAAAAGCAUCAACUUUUUCUCCUAGCAUCCCUUCCACCCAUUUUUUCGGAAGAGAACCCCAAAGUUUUGGGUACUUAUUUUUGUUAACAAAGUUUAGAGCUUUGAAUGUUUUCUUUCUGUUUUGGAAAAAAGGUCUACGGGGUUCUAAUCUUUCAUUGUUUCUGCAUUUUGGGCAUUACCCAGUUGAGAUGCUUAAAUGUGUUGAAUCUCAGAAAAAUUAGUUUUGGGUUUGUGUUAUUCCGGAUUAUCUUGGGGGCAAGUUGACAAGCAUGUAUGAUUGUAUUCGGUGAUGGGUUUUGUUCAGAUGCUUGUAUUGAGUUAUCUCAGUUCAUUUUGUUAGCAGGUUGGUUGUACUGAGGCUUAUUUGGAUUUUGAAUCCAUACGAAAAAUCGAAGCUUGGUUUGGAAGAGAUGGGGUGUAUUGGGGCACAUGGUGUGGCUACUUUACAUAAACACAAGUACAGUGGUGUGGAUCACUCUUGCGUUGCCAAAUAUGUCAUGCAACCCUUUUGGAGUAGCUUCGUUAAAAUCUUUCCCCUUUGGAUGCCGUUCUGGUGGGCUUUACAACUUGCAAAGUGUUUGCCUUUUAUGAGUUGGGUCCGUUCUUAAUGUGUGUCCAACGUUCAUAAGGUUGUUCAAGCAAGGAAAGCAAGUAUACUAUUGGCACUGGCAAUGGUGAUGCUUCCAUCUUUCUGAUUUUAUGCUAAUCUAGACACUUGAUUGGCUUAAUGGGUGUUUCAUGUUGUUUCUUCUCAGCUUUACCCUGUAGUAAUCCUUUUGGGAGGAACUUUGGCUUGGUAUUUUUUGGCAGGAAAACUCUGUUUUGGCAGGGAAGACUGGUUCUUGCGCACGCGUGUGAUGAGCCUGCAUGGUGAUGGAGUUUUGAGCUCCCAUUGUAAACAACAAUUCGUCAAAGGCCUUUAUAUAGGUCAAAUCCUUUUUAUUAUUGAUUAGGUGUUAGACCAUUUAGAAUGAGGGUUGAGGUUUGUGCCAAUAAUUGUGUAGAUUAAGCUUGAUGAUUAUACUAUAAUAUUAAUAUUAAUUAAUAUUAAUUAAUCAA